AUGAAUUGCCUCAGCUGGAACUGUCGCGGGCUUGGGAACCCAGCGACAGUUCGCGAGCUUCGCAGUGUGGUGAAGCAAGAAGGGCCCGGUCUUUUAUUUCUGAUGGAGACUAAAAUUGCGGCGAAGAGGGUACAAAGUCUGCAAAAUCUUCUGGGAUUUGCGGGCUGUUUUGAAGUUGAUAGCGAUGGUUUAAGUGGGGGCAUUGGUCUAUUCUGGACAAAUGAUGUUCAGGUGGAUCUUCAGAGUUUCAGUUCGGGGCACAUAGACGUGAUGGUGCAGAAUAAUAAUUUGCACCGGAAUAAAUGGAGAUUUACAGGUUUUUAUGGGGCCCCUCAUGUUUCGGACAAACACCACAGUUGGAGAUGUUUGCAGACUUUGUUUUCUAUCCAACACCAGGCGUGGUUAUGUGUAGGGGAUUUUAAUGAAACAUUGUAUGCCACGGAACAUUUUUCGCUGGCUGCCCGGCCUGAAUGGCAAAUGCGUGCGUUCCGUGAGGUAGCUGAUGAUUGCUUGUUCCAAGACAUGGGAUGA
rnacentral:rRNA from 1 species